UACAGAGGUCCCAAGCGUUGUUCGGAUUCAUUGGGCGUAAAGGGUGCGUAGGCGGCGCGGUAAGUCGGGUGUGAAAUCGUCGGGGCUUAACUCCGAAACUGCAUUCGAUACUGCCGUGCUUGAGGACUGGAGAGGAGACUGGAAUUUACGGUGUAGCGGUGAAAUGCGUAGAUAUCGUAAGGAAGACCAGUGGCGAAGGCGGGUCUCUGGACAGUUCCUGACGCUGAGGCACGAAGGCCAGGGGAGCAAACGGG
rnacentral:rRNA from 1 species